rnacentral:rRNA from 1 species
GUGGGGAAUAUUGGGCAAUGGGCGAAAGCCUGACCCAGCAACGCCGCGUGAAGGAAGAAGGUUUUCGGAUUGUAAACUUCUGUCCUCAGGGAAGAAGAAAGUGACGGUACCUGAGGAGGAAGCCCCGGCUAACUACGUGCCAGCAGCCGCGGUAAUACGUAGGGGGCGAGCGUUGUCCGGAAUGACUGGGCGUAAAGGGCGCGUAGACGGCUGUCUAAGUCUGGAGUGAAAGUACUGCUUUCAAGGUGGGAAUUGCUUUGGAGACUGGAUGGCUUGAGUGAGGAAGAGGUAAGUGGAAUUCCCAGUGUAGCGGUGAAAUGCGUAGAGAUUGGGAGGAACACCAGUGGCGAAGGCGACUUACUGGGCCGUAACUGACGUUGAUGCGCGAAAGCGUGGGGAGCGAACAGGAUUAGAAACCCGGUAGUCC